rnacentral:rRNA from 1 species
UACGGAGGUGGCUAGCGUUACUCGGAAUUAUUGGGUGUAAAGGGCAAGUAGGCGGCUUGGCAAGUAGGGGGUGAAAUACUCCGGCUCAAUCGGAGAACUGCCUUCUAAACUGCCAGGCUUGAGUAUGACAGAGGAAAAUGGAAUUCUCGGUGUAAGGGUGAAAUCUGUAGAUAUCGAGAAGAACACCAGCGGCGAAGGCGAUUUUCUGGGUCAUUACUGACGCUAAAUUGCGAAAGCUAGGGGAGCAAACAGA